UAUGCUGGCUGGAGAAUUCUGGGAGUUGAAGUCCUUCUUAAAGUUGUCAAGUUUGGGGACCCCCGAUAGCAGGUGCGCUGAGUUUAGGAUUCGGGAGAGAUCAGAAUCUGUAGCAGCGUCUCUCAAUCUAAGAAUUGGGUGGAUUUCAACUCCCAGAAUUCCCCAGCUGAAGAUCAUUGGGCUGAGUUGACGUCCGUGCAGUUUGAAGGCUCUGAGAUUGAGAAAUACUGAUUGGGGUUAUUUGAGUCAAACACCGUUCGCUUAAAGCUGGCUGCCAUGCCCAUGUGCGAACUCUGCCAGGUUGCCUCUUCCUCUGACUUCGACGGAUUUCUCUGCUUCCAAAAACUCGAAGUGAAAACAAAAGCAAGAAAAGGGAUAUCAGAGGGAACAGCAACCAUCAACCUAUAAUUUAAAAUUUGCUAACUAAUGAGAAAGAUAUCAGUUUCAUCCAAUAUUGCUCUCCUGAAGUUCUUCUGGAUAGCAGUUAUCAAUUUAAAAUAGUUUGGUCAGUGUUUUAAAUGCAGCUCAAGCCUUAAAUGUUAGAUUAAGAGAUGGAAGGGGCCUUAUAGGUAAUCUAGUCCAACCCCGCCCCCGCUCAAGCAGGAGACCCUACACCAUUUCUGACAAAGGCAGUCCAAUC